GGGUCAGCAGGUUGGUCGUGCCACCGGUACGUACUGGUCUCACUGAUUCCUCCUUCCUGAAGAACCGUAAUGCCAUUAAUUUGGUGUUGCGGGGAAACAGGACUGUUACUUUGAAAAAACUAGAGUGUUUAAAGCAAGCUAACGCUUGAAUACAUUAGCAUGGAAUAAUGAAAUAGGACGAUCGAUCCUAUUUUGUUGGUUCCUAGGAUUGACGUA
rnacentral:rRNA from 1 species